AGUGAACGCUGGCGGUAGGCCUAACACAUGCAAGUCGAACGGCAGCACAGUAAGAGCUUGCUCUUACGGGUGGCGAGUGGCGGACGGGUGAGGAAUACAUCGGAAUCUACUUUUUCGUGGGGGAUAACGUAGGGAAACUUACGCUAAUACCGCAUACGACCUACGGGUGAAAGCAGGGGAUCUUCGGACCUUGCGCGAUUGAAUGAGCCGAUGUCGGAUUAGCUAGUUGGCGGGGUAAAGGCCCACCAAGGCGACGAUCCGUAGCUGGUCUGAGAGGAUGAUCAGCCACACUGGAACUGAGACACGGUCCAGACUCCUACGGGAGGCAGCAGUGGGGAAUAUUGGACAAUGGGCGCAAGCCUGAUCCAGCCAUACCGCGUGGGUGAAGAAGGCCUUCGGGUUGUAAAGCCCUUUUGUUGGGGAAGAAAAGCGGCAGGUUAAUACCCCGCUGUUCUGACGGUACCCAAAGAAUAAGCACCGGCUAACUUCGUG
rnacentral:rRNA from 1 species